UCAAAAGCAUGGCAUGAGGGUUUAAUAACUCAUAUGUGGUUAUGACAGGGGUUAAACAGGGUGAUGCCAUUUCACUUCUGGUCUCAUUUAAAAUGCUUAUUUUUACAACCAAAAUAUAAAGACAAUAAAUUCCUAAGUUAAUAAAAAUACAUAUAGAUAACUUCUUCAACUGAGAAAUGACCAGUUCUUCACUAGGAGAGAGGCUCAGAUGACUCUUCUUCACAUUUAAAUGAAAAGAGUGCUCGGAGAAUGUGCAUUCUGAUGGCACCUCAGAAGUGUUGCUCUGAAAAUUAAUUUCGCCCAGCCACAGAGGUCUGAUGACACAAACGUGAGCAUCAUCAGUUUCUGCACAGACACUACCCUGUGCUGCAGUAAAAGCUUGUUUUCAUGGUGAUAACAAGAAAGAGGUACCAGGACUCCCUCAGCAGAAUCUUUCAGAGGAAUGAAGGAAGAACUGUGCAUAAAUUAUGGAUUUAUUUUCUUCUACUUGGGAAUUAUGUAAGUUGUACAAAAAGCUCAAAAUAAUUUAAUACAACUAUUGUGCAUUUGCAUCUGCAUGUCUGUAGUGAUUUAUCUUUUCCCCCUUUUUCCUUUUUCCUCAUUCUCUUGUUUUCUCUCUUCCUCCCUUCAUCUCAGUCUUUCUCUGUGACUCACAUGCACACACAUACAUGCACUCUCCAGUAGCAAGGGCAUCUGCAGCAGGCAACCCCCCAGUUUUCCCACUUGAAAAUGUUCAUGUGGCUUCCAGUAUGACUUUCCUCUGCUUAUAUGGAUAGCCACCAACCUCUAUAAGACACUGUAAGAUUUCUGUUGAUCUCUUGUGUGCAUGCUUAGGGCAGGUUUCACUUACUCGGUCCCUGUCUCCAUCCUACUGUUUGGAAGUAUUGUGGA
rnacentral:lncRNA from 1 species